rnacentral:rRNA from 1 species
UACAGAGGGGGCAAGCGUUGUUCGGAAUUACUGGGCGUAAAGCGUGCGCAGGCGGUCUGUUAAGACCGAUGUGAAAUCCCCGGGCUUAACCUGGGAACUGCAUUGGUGACUGGCAGGCUUUGAGUGUGGCAGAGGGAGGUAGAAUUCCACGUGUAGCAGUGAAAUGCGUAGAGAUGUGGAGGAAUACCGAUGGCGAAGGCAGCCUCCUGGGCCAACACUGACGCUCAUGCACGAAAGCGUGGGGAGCAAACAGG